GACGAACGCUGGCGGCGUGCCUAAUACAUGCAAGUAGUACGCAGUUGCGAACGGGUGAGUAACGCGUAGGUACCUGCCUCAUAGCGGGGGAUAACUAUUGGAAACGAUAGCUAAUACCGCAUACUGUGAGAUGGACCUGCGUGUUAUUAGCUAGUUGGUGGGGUAAAGGGUCACCAAGGCGACGAUACAUAGCCGACCUGAGAGGGUGUGCGGCCACACUGGGACUGAGACACGGCCCAGCGGCUGACGUGAGGCAGCAGUAGGGAAUCUUCGGCAAUGGACGGAAUUCUGACCGAGGAACGCCGGGUGAGUGAAGAAGGUUUUCUGAUCGUAAAGUUCUGUUGUUAGAGAAGCGGUACCUAACCAGAAAGGGACGGCUAACUACGUGCCAGCAGCGGGGGGAAUU
rnacentral:rRNA from 1 species